GAUGAACGCUGGCGGCGUGCUUAACACAUGCAAGUCGAACGAAGCACCUUGAUUCGAUUCUUCGGAUGAAGAUCUUGGUGACUGAGUGGCGGACGGGUGAGUAACGCGUGGGUAACCUGCCUCAUACAGGGGGAUAACAGUUAGAAAUGACUGCUAAUACCGCAUAAGACCACAGCACCGCAUGGUGCAGGGGUAAAAACUCCGGUGGUAUGAGAUGGACCCGCGUCUGAUUAGGUAGUUGGUGGGGUAACGGCCUACCAAGCCGACGAGCAGUAGCCGACCUGAGAGGGUGACCGGCCACAUUGGGACUGAGACACGGCCCAAACUCCUACGGGAGGCAGCAGUGGGGAAUAUUGCACAAUGGGGGAAACCCUGAUGCAGCGACGCCGCGUGAGCGAUGAAGUAGUUCGGUAUGUAAAGCUCUAUCAGCAGGGAAGAAAAUGACGGUACCUGACUAAGAAGCACCGGCUAAAUACGUG
rnacentral:rRNA from 1 species